rnacentral:rRNA from 1 species
CAGUCGCCGCGGUAAUACGUAGGGUGCAAGCGUUAAUCGGAAUUACUGGGCGUAAAGCGUGCGCAGGCGGUUAUAUAAGACAGAUGUGAAAUCCCCGGGCUCAACCUGGGAACUGCAUUUGUGACUGUAUAGCUAGAGUACGGCAGAGGGGGAUGGAAUUCCGCGUGUAGCAGUGAAAUGCGUAGAUAUGCGGAGGAACACCGAUGGCGAAGGCAAUCCCCUGGGACUGUACUGACGCUCAUGCACGAAAGCGUGGGGAGCAAACAGGAUUAGAUACCCCGGUAGUCCCUGUCUCUUAUAC